AGGGCUAUAGCCAAGCGGUAAGGCAACGGACUUUGACUCCGUCAUUUCAAUGGUUCGAAUCCAUUUAGCCCUACCA
rnacentral:tRNA from 2 species